rnacentral:ncRNA from 1 species
UACCCAUUGGUAAAAAAUAGUUUGGAGGGAUAGGGUUAGUAAGUCUCUUGAAACCCCUAUAAGAAACAAAAGCAA